rnacentral:lncRNA from 1 species
CUCUCUGCGUUGGGACCGCGGAGGGCAUUCGCUGUGUGACUCAGGGCAAGUGUGCGCACCUCUCUGAGCCUCCGCGGCCUUCUCUAGCAAAAUGGUGGAGCCGGUACCCGGCUGUAAGGCAAGCUGGGAUGCGCGGAGUAGCGGGUGGAAAGCUGGACUGGAGUUCUCACUCGGCCGCUGGGUGACUUCGGUGCACUAGGGAUAGUAACAGUACCACCUCGUAGGGUUGUAGAAAGACCAAGCCUGUUCUGCCCCACACAGCAGAAAAUGCCCACGAUGCAAUACCAGAGUCUGCAUGGGACCAUUUCAACAACCCUUAGAAGCUGACUCAGCUGUCUCCUGGCCCUGACUUUUCUAAGAUGAGAGGAGCUGGUAGGAACAAUUUGGGAACCCUCAAAGGCUGAGAGUAUCCCACCCACUUCACAGAUGAAGCAAACUGAGGCCCAGAGAAGGGAAAUUACUUGCCCAAGAUCACCCAGCAAGUAAGAAACAGAGCUGGAGAUGAGCUCAGGCCAGCACGGAACCACGCAAACUCCUUCUGUAGGCUUUGUAAAGGAUUGAUGAGAAAAGCAGAUGGUUAAGAGCUCUACAACUUCUGUGAGCCAGGAGAGAGGGGGGACAGGUGACUGGUCCAUCCCUGAGGCAAGGAUCCCAGCACCUACCAGGCUUCCCCCGAGACCAACACUCUGCAGCUCUGGGAGGAAGUGGAGAGCCCCAGAGUCUGGCGAACUUGGCAGGACGUGAGAGAACAGCUCAAGGGAGAACCAUUCCAGUCCCUUCCAUGGCCCCAGGAGGUGGGAGACAGGCCCUCCCCAUUCUGCAGGUGAGAAAGCAA